rnacentral:rRNA from 1 species
GAUGAACGCUGGCGGCGUGCCUAAUACAUGCAAGUCGAGCGAACAGACGAGGAGCUUGCUCCUCUGACGUUAGCGGCGGACGGGUGAGUAACACGUUGAUAACCUACCUAUAAGACUUGGAUAACUUCGGGAAACCGGAGCUAAUACCGGAUAAUAUAUUGAACCGCAUGGUUCAAUAGUGAAAGACGGUUUUGCUGUCACUUAUAGAUGGAUCCGCGCCGCAUUAGCUAGUUGGUAAGGUAACGGCUUACCAAGGCAACGAUGCGUAGCCGACCUGAGAGGGUGAUCGGCCACACUGGAACUGAGACACGGUCCAGACUCCUACGGGAGGCAGCAGUAGGGAAUCUUCCGCAAUGGGCGAAAGCCUGACGGAGCAACGCCGCGUGAGUGAUGAAGGUCUUCGGAUCGUAAAACUCUGUUAUUAGGGAAGAACAAAUGUGUAAGUAACUAUGCACGUCUUGACGGUACCUAAUCAGAAAGCCACGGCUAACUACGUG